ACCCUCUAGGAUCAACCCCAACACCCUCUAGGAUCAACCCCAAUACCCUCUAGUGUCCUCUGUCAUGGAUCAACCCCAAUACCCUCUAGGGUCAACCCCAACACCCUCUAGGAUCAACCCCAAUACCCUCUAGGAUCAACCCCAACACCCUCUAGGAUCAACCCCAAUACCCUCUAGUGUCCUCUGUCAUGGAUCAACCCCAAUUCCCCCUAGGAUCAACCCCAACACCCUCUAGGAUCAACCCCAAUACCCUCUAGUGUCCUCUGUCAUGGAUCAACCCCAAUUCCCCCUAGGAUCAACCCCAACACCCUCUAGGAUCAACCCCAAUACCCUCUAGUGUCCUCUGUCAUGGAUCAACCCCAAUACCCCCUAAGAUCAACCCCAACACCCUCUAGGGUCAACCCCAACACCCUCUAGGAUCAACCCCAAUACCCUCUAGUGUCCUCUGUCAUGGAUCAACCCCAAUUCCCCCUAGGAUCAACCCCAAUACCCCCUAGGAUCAACCCCAACACCCUCUAGUGUCCUCUGUCAUGGAUCAACCCCAAUUCCCCCUAGGAUCAACCCCAACACCCUCUAGGAUCAACCACAAUACCCUCUAGUGUCCUCUGUCAUGGAUCAACCCCAAUACCCCCUAAGGUCAACCCCAACACCCUCUAGGAUCAACCCCAAUACCCUCUAGUGUCCUCUGUCAUGGAUCAACCCCAAUUCCCCCUAGGAUCAACCCCAAUACCCCCUAGUGUCCUCUGUCAUUGAUCAACCCCAAUACCCUCUAGGAUCAACCCCAAUACCCCCUAGUGUCCUCUGUCAUGGAUCAACCCCAAUUCCCCCAAGGAUCAACCCCAAUACCCCCUAGUGUCCUCUGUCAUGGAUCAACCCCAAUACCCUCUAGGAUCAACCCCAAUACCCCUAAGAUCAACCCCAACACCCUCUAGGGUCAACCCCAACACCCUCUAGGAUCAACCCCAAUACCCUCUAGUGUCCUCUGUCAUGGAUCAACCCCAAUACUCCCUAGUGUCCUCUGUCAUGGAUCUACCCCCUAGUGUCCUCUGUCAUGGAUCAACCCCAACACCCUCUAGUGUCCUCUGUCAUGGAUCAACCCCAAUACCCCCUAGUGUCCUCUGUCAUGGAUCAACCCCAACACCCUCUAGGAUCAACCCCAAUACCCCCUAGUGUCCUCUGUCAUGGAUCAACCCCAAUACCACCCGGAAUGAGAUAUAUGGAACGCAGACCUUGGGAGAUAGCACAAGGAAUGCAGACCGUGGGGGAAAGCAGAAGGAACAGAGACUGUGGGGGUUAGUAGACUGUGGGUGAUAGGAGACUGUGGUGGAUAGAACAAGGACCGUAGACCAUGGGGGAUAGAACAAGGACCGUAGACUGUGGGGGACAGUAGAAGGAAGGUGAACCGUGGGAGAUAGAGCAAGGACCGUAGACCGUGGGGGACAGUACAAGGAAGGUGAACCGUGCGGGACAGUACAAGGAACGUAGACUGUAGGGGAUAGCAGACUGUGGGGGAUAGCAGACUGUGAGGGAUAGCAGACUGUGGGGGAUAGCAGACUGUAGGGGAUAGCAGACUGUGGGGGAUAGCAGACUGUAGGGGAUAGCAGACUGUAGGGGAUAGCAGACUGUAGGGGAUAGCAGACUGUGGGGGAUAGCAGACUGUGGUUGAUAGCAGACUGUGGGGGAUAGCAGACUGUGGGGAUAGCAGACUGUAGGGGAUAGCAGACUGUAGGGGAU